CUUUAAAACAAAUUUGUGCAGAUUUGGAAUUCGGACAUGCCGCUGCAUCAACGUUCCUUAAGAUAAGGUGCCCGGUGGUGGUCUCGUGCUGACGAUGCCUUCUCGGUGGCACUGUUGUUUAUGGCGUCACUGCAUCAGUGGGAGGAAGCUACUGCUUGUUCCUUGGAACAGAUGCUCACCGUUCAAACGUUCUGCGAGGGUCUCGGCAGCAAGUGCUUGUGCGACUACGAGUGCUGCGGGGCUUUGACGUGCAAUGACAACCAGUGUGUCGACAACACCAAAUUGAAGCCGGAGAAAAAGGCGCCUUUGAAGCUU